AUUGAACGCUGGCGGCAGGCCUAACACAUGCAAGUCGAGCGAGCGGCGGACGGGUGAGUAAUGUAUGGGGACUGCCCGAGAGAGGGGGAUAACUACUGGAAACGGUGGCUAAUACCGCAUACUAUCGGAUAACCCAUAUGGGAUUAGCUAGUAGGUGGGGUAAAGGCUCACCUAGGCGACGAUUUCUAGCUGGUCUGAGAGGAUGAUCAGCCACACAUGGACUGAGACACGGCCCAUACUCCUGCGGAGGCAGAAGUGGGGAAGAUUGCACAGUGGGCGAAAGCCUAGUGCAGCGACGCCGCGUGGUGGAUGAAGGCUUUCGGGUUGUAAUCCUCUUUCGCUAUCGAACGGGUAGGUGGAGAAGAAGCGCCGGCUAACUACGUGCCAGCAGCCGCGGUAAUAC
rnacentral:rRNA from 1 species